ACGUAGGAGGCAAGCGUUAUCCGGAGUUACUGGGCGUAAAGGGCGUGCAGGCGGUUGGCUAAGUUCGUUGUGAAAGCGCCCAGGCUUAACCGGGAGAGGACGUGCGAGACCGGCGGACUAGAGGCAGGUAGAGGCAAGUGGAAUUCCGGGUGUAGUGGUGAAAUGCGUAGAGAUGUGGAGGAACACCGAUGGCGAAGGCAGCCCCCUGGGAUGACACUGACGCUCAUGUACGAAAGCGUGGGUAGCAAACAG
rnacentral:rRNA from 1 species